GUGGCAGUGACCAGAAGGGGCCGGAAGGGGGUGGCCGCCGGCCGGGCCCCGCCCUGGGGCCGCCUCCCCGCGGGUUCCGUUGGCUGUGGCGGCAGCUGACGCUUGUGGCGGCGGUGGUUUCGGGGUGGGCGUAAGAUGGCGACAGCGCAGGGACCCCUAAGCUUGCUGUGGGGCUGGCUGUGGAGCGAGCGCUUCUGGCUACCCGAGAACGUGAGCUGGGCUGAUCUGGAGGGGCCGGCCGACGGCUACGGUUACCCCCGCGGCCGGCACAUCCUCUCGGUGUUCCCGCUGGCGGCGGGCAUCUUCUUCGUGAGGCUGCUCUUCGAGCGAUUUAUUGCCAAACCCUGUGCACUCCGUAUUGGCAUCGAGGACAGUGGUCCUUAUCAGGCCCAACCCAAUGCCAUCCUUGAAAAGGUGUUCAUAUCUAUUACCAAGUAUCCUGAUAAGAAAAGGCUGGAGGGCCUGUCAAAGCAGCUGGAUUGGAAUGUCCGAAAAAUCCAAUGCUGGUUUCGCCAUCGGAGGAAUCAGGACAAGCCCCCAACGCUUACUAAAUUCUGUGAAAGCAUGUGGAGAUUCACAUUUUAUUUAUGUAUAUUCUACUAUGGAAUUAGAUUUCUCUGGUCGUCACCUUGGUUCUGGGACAUCCGACAGUGCUGGCAUAACUAUCCAUUUCAGCCUCUUUCAAGUGGGCUUUAUUACUAUUAUAUCAUGGAAUUGGCCUUCUAUUGGUCCCUUAUGUUUUCUCAGUUUACAGACAUUAAAAGAAAGGACUUCCUGAUCAUGUUUGUGCAUCACUUGGUCACCAUUGGGCUUAUCUCCUUCUCCUACAUCAACAAUAUGGUUCGAGUGGGAACUCUGAUCAUGUGUCUACAUGAUGUCUCAGACUUCUUGCUGGAGGCAGCCAAACUGGCCAAUUAUGCCAAGUAUCAGCGGCUCUGUGACACCCUUUUUGUGAUCUUCAGUGCUGUUUUUAUGGUUACACGACUAGGAAUCUAUCCAUUCUGGAUUCUGAACACGACCCUCUUUGAGAGCUGGGAGAUAAUCGGGCCUUAUGCUUCAUGGUGGCUCCUCAAUGGCCUGCUGCUGACCCUACAGGUUCUGCAUGUCAUCUGGUCCUACCUAAUUGCACGGAUUGCUUUGAAAGCCUUGAUCAGGGGAAAGGUGAGGAUGAAAGAUGGCUUCUUUCUUUUGGGUAUGGAAGAUAGGGAUUACUCAACAGACGUUCUCUCUCCAUCAAACCUGGUGAGCCCCAUCUACUCAAGCAGGCCAAGCAAAAAGCCUAGGGCUCCAAAGUCUUCACCUCUUCGGUGACCUGUCCAGGAAGGAUUAGACCCUGUACUCUCCAUUCUUUCCUCACCUCCUUCCUUUUUUCUAUGCCUGGCAGGAGCUGGACAGUUUCAUCUCUUGCAUGUAUCGAAGGAUGACCGCAGUGAUGUGGAGAGCAGCUCAGAGGAAGAAGAUGUGACCACCUGCACAAAAAGUCCCUGUGACAGUAGCUCCAGCAAUGGUGCCAAUCGGGUGAAUGGUCACAUGGGAGGCAGCUACUGGGCUGAAGAGUAAGGUGGUUGCUAUGGGGACUUCAGCACACAUGGACUUGUAGGGCCACUGGCAACAUACUCCUCUUGGCCCUUCCCAUAUCUACUCUUCUGUGAUUGGGAGACUGCAAGGCACUGAGGAGUAUCAAAGAAGCAAAUAUUUUCACUUUGAAAGAAAACUGCCAUUUUGUAUUUAAUAGUCUCCAGGUUCUUUCAGUAAUGUUAUUUGCUCUGUGUGUUUUUGUGUGUUUGUUGAUGUGCGUUUGUGCAUAUGCGUGAGUUUCAUUGCCGGGUUGGGGCACAAUUGUGGACUGGGGCCGUGAGGCCUUCCCUGGUCCCCACUGAACCCACCUUAGUUCCACAUUUGGCUGCAUCUUGAAUUAUGCCGACUCCAGACUGUCUCCUCCUUUUUUGCCCUUGGCUCUUGACACUCUAAACCCCUGGACCAUCUGAAUGGAGCAGUCAAGUGCAGUCCCAGAUUUCUGUACUGUUCCUCUUUCACAGCUGGAAUAUGUCACAUGAUGAAGUUGUAUAGAAACAGAACCAUGGAUGGAUGGCCAGGAUUGCCGUGGUCCCUAGCUAGAUCCCCUUCCUAUCAAUCACCUGAUAGCAACAGGGACAGCUGCCAAUACCCUGCUCUUUACUCAAUGGUACCCAGGGAGGGAGCAUGGGAAGAGGGUGAGCUGAGGGCUGGGGGAGGGCAACAGCCACUGGGUGAGCUGUUCACGGUCUUAUACUAUUGUUUGUGAUUAAAAGUGCUUCAACCCA